UUGUCAAAUUGUGUCACCAAAAUCAUCUCAAAGUAUCUCUUUCAAAACCUUAACCAAACCUUAUACUCACUUACAACAUUACAUCCAGGAAAUAUAAGAAAGCCUAAAUUCCAAAAUGACAAAGCAUGAUGUAGAUAUGAAUUCGUUGAAAGAGGAAGUAAAGAAACUGAAGACAAAAAUGGAACAGAUAAACGUAGAAUUUUUAAUGCUGAAAACUAUUGUGAGUCAGCACGUCGAGUAACCCCUUUCACAGAAUAAUAUCGGCGAUGGACCUUUACUUUGAUGAACACCAGUACCAAAACUUCGUUAUAAAAUACUUUAAAUAAAUUUCCCAGUUUACACGAAGAUUUGCUCGAACACGAUGCAUGGGGUACUCAGUGAAAUAUGAUUGUGUAAGGCAUUUCUUAGGCGGAUUUGAAUCAAUAAAAUGAAAAUUUUAAAA